rnacentral:rRNA from 1 species
CCUACGGGCGGCAGCAGUCGAGAAUCAUUCACAAUGGGGGAAACCCUGAUGGUGCGACGCCGCGUGGGGGAAUGAAGGUCUUCGGAUUGUAAACCCCUGUCAUGUGGGAGCAAAUUAAAAAGAUAGUACCACAAGAGGAAGAGACGGCUAACUCUGUGCCAGCAGCCGCGGUAAUACAGAGGUCUCAAGCGUUGUUCGGAAUCACUGGGCGUAAAGCGUGCGUAGGCUGUUUCGUAAGUCGUGUGUGAAAGGCGCGGGCUCAACCCGCGGACGGCACAUGAUACUGCGAGACUAGAGUAAGGGAGGGGGAACCGGAAUUCUCGGUGUAGCAGUGAAAUGCGUAUAUAUCGAGAGGAACACUCGUGGCGAAGGCGGGUUCCUGGACAUUAACUGACGCUGAGGCACGAAGGCCAGGGGAGCGAAAGGGAUUAGAUACCCUAGUAGUC